UGCUUGUCUCAAAGAUUAAGCCAUGCACGUCUAUGCACAAGCCGAUACGGUGAAGCCGCGAAUGGCUCAUUACAACAGCCACUGUUUACUUGAUUCUGAUUAUCCUACUGGAUAACUGUGGUAAUUCUAGAGCUAAUACAUGCAACCAAGCUCCGACCGUAAGGGACGAGCGCAUUUAUUAGAACAAAACCAAUCGGGCUUCGGCCUGAGGUUUGGUGAAUCUGAAUAACUGAGCUGAUCGCAUGGUCUUUGUAUCGGCGACGCAUCUUUCAAGUGUCUGCCUUAUCAACUUUCGAUGGUAGUUUAUGUGCCUACCAUGGUUGUAACGGGUAACGGAGAAUAAGGGUUCGACUCCGGAGAGGGAGCCUGAGAAACGGCUACCACAUCCRAGGAAGGCAGCAGGCA
rnacentral:rRNA from 1 species